rnacentral:rRNA from 1 species
GGAAUUUUGGGCAAUGGGCGAAAGCCUGACCCAGCAACGCCGCGUGAGGGAUGAAGGCCUUCGGGUCGUAAACCUCUGUCAGGAGGGAAGAACGUGGCCGGGGCGAACAUUCCCGGUUACUUGACGGUACCUCCAAAGGACGGACCGGCUAACUCCGUGCCAGCAGCCGCGGUAAUACGGAGGGUCCAAGCGUUGUUCGGAAUCAUUGGGCGUAAAGCGCGUGUAGGCGGUCGAGUAAGUCAAAUGUGAAAUCCCGGGGCUCAACCCCGGAACUGCAUUCGAUACUCCUUGACUAGAGUCCCGGAGAGGAAGGCGGAAUUCCCGGUGUAGAGGUGAAAUUCGUAGAUAUCGGGAGGAACACCAGUGGCGAAGGCGGCCUUCUGGACGGUGACUGACGCUGAGACGCGAAAGCGUGGGGAGCAAAC